rnacentral:rRNA from 1 species
GACGAACGCUGGCGGCGUGCUUAACACAUGCAAGUCGAGCGGAAAGGCCACUUCGGUGGUACUCGAGCGGCGAACGGGUGAGUAACACGUGAGUAAUCUGCCCCUCACUUCGGGAUAGCUCCGGGAAACCGGGAUUAAUACCGGAUAUGAGCACCGGCUGCAUGGUCUGGUGUUGGAAAGUUUUUUCGGUGGGGGAUGUGCUCGCGGCCUAUCAGCUUGAUGGUGGGGUAAUGGCCUACCAUGGCUUCGACGGGUAGCCGGCCUGAGAGGGUGACCGGCCACACUGGGACUGAGACACGGCCCAGACUCCUACGGGAGGCAGCAGUGGGGAAUAUUGGACAAUGGGCGGAAGCCUGAUCCAGCAACGCCGCGUGAGGGAUGACGGCCUUCGGGUUGUAAACCUCUUUCAGCGCCGACGAAGCCUUCGGGUGACGGUAGGUGCAGAAGAAGGACCGGCCAACUAUGUGCCAGCAGCCGCCGUAAAAC